rnacentral:misc_RNA from 1 species
GAUGAAGAACGUAGCGAAAUGCGAUACUUGGUGUGAAUUGCAGAAUCCCGUGAACCAUCGAGUCUUUGAACGCAAGUUGCGCCCGAAGCCGUCAGGCCGAGGGCACGCCUGCCUGAGCGUCACACGCCGUUGCCCCCCCGCGCCCCGCACCCAACUCUUUGGGAGCGACCGCGGGGCGGGCUGAUGAUGGCCUCCCGUGCGCUCCGCCGCGCGGUUGGCCCAAAUACCGAGUCCCCGGCGACGUGCGCCACGACGAUCGGUGGUUGAGAGACCUCUGUCGCAAGUCGUGCGCGCCCGUCGCGUCACGCGGGCUCGCAUAGCGCCUCGCGCCGCACCCGGUGCGGAGCUUUCAACGCGACCCCAGGUCAGGCGGGGUUACCCGCUGAAUUUAAGCAUAUCAAUAAGCGGAGGA